GACCAAGUGGUGACAGCAGAGGGCAAAACGUCAGGGCCAACUCUUCCGCCAUGAUACAUACAUGGUCCCUGGCGGGCACUGUCCUUACUGGGCCCCUAGGAGUCCCUGCGUUGUGGCCUGACCACCAGCCCCUCUCUGGUGAUGGCCCAGUUGUAGUUCUUCCGGGAGUCCAAUGCUGCUUCCACCCGUGCCUCCAGGUUCUCUCGGGUGAUGAAGUUUUUCACCUCUUCCUAUCGGGAGAGAAAAGCCCAGCUGAACAGGAGCCUUGGGCACAUGCCAGCCAGCCCACCCAGCCUGCUGGCCUCUCACCCCACUGAGAAAGCAGCUCCUGCUCUCCCUGGGGAAGCAUGCCUGGAACCCAGGUCCUAUUUGAGAGCCCCUCUGGCCUCCCAGUGGAGUGAUAUCAGGUUGCUUUUCCACGUUCCUCUUUUCUCAGACACUUCAGCCAUAGCCCCGAGUGCCAGCUAUGAAAAUCUCACGUCCUGGUAGGUGAAAUCCGUCCCUCAGUGGUCCCCUCUGAAUCACUCUAACUCAUCCUUCCCCCCAUUACUUUAUUUAUUUAUUUAUUUAUUUAUUUUGAGACGGAGUCUCACUGUCGCCCAGGAUGGAGUGCAGUGGCGCCAUCUCGGCUCACUGCAACCUCUGCCUCCUGGGUUCAAGCGAUUCUCAUGCCUCAGCCUCCCGAGUAGCUGCGAUUACUGGCGCACACCACGCCCGGCUAAUUUUUGUAUUUUUAGGAGAGACGGGGCUUGGCCAGGCUGGACUCGAACUCCCGACCUCAAGUGAUACGCCCGCUUCGGCCUCCCAUAGUACUGGGAUUACAGGCGUGAACCACCGCUCCCAGCCACCCUUCUAUACUUUAAAUCAAGCCUCAUCCAUUCUCACUGCAUUACUCCUAAGUGGUCUCCCUGCUUUUAAGUCGCACACCUGCUAAUCCUAGCCUGAAAUACUUAACCCUUCAUGGCUUCAUCACCUGUUAUGCAAAAUACAACCUCUUUGUGGAACGCAGGGUCCCUCCCACAGACCUGCUAGGUACCUGAACACUGUCCAAUUACUCCGCUCACCUCCGGGUCUUUGCGCCUGACUGGCACUCUCCUCUCCAAAUCCGGACCUGCCAACUGUAAGUCUCUGCACAUAGCCAGCGCCCGCGUCGCGGUGCCCAGAAUUCCCAGUGCCCCGCAAGCCGCGUCCCCGGCUGGAGUCCCACCCUCCGGAGACGUUGCCCACCUGCAGCUGCAGCACUUCCCGCUCCUUGCGCUGCGCCCAGGCC
rnacentral:lncRNA from 10 species